GGGAGACGGGGGAGGGGGCGGGGGCGAGGCGGGAGCGGAGCCGCGCCGCUCUGCCCCCUCGCAGCAGUCCGGGCUGUGAUCGUGGAGAGCAAGGCCCUUGGGCGUGAUUUCUUCUUCUCUUCUUCUUCUUUUUUCUUUUCUUUUUUUUUCUUUUUUUUUUUUUUUUCUUUUUCCUUUUUUUCUCUUUCUUUUUAACCCUGGCGGGAGGCCGCGGAGAAGUGCGAGGCACAGCCUGUUUUGUCUUUUCACGCUCGGAGAAUGAUUUAGAGGGGCAGAACGACUCGUUGCUUGGAAGUACUAGCUGGCGCCAAGGCAAGCCCAGAUGAUCACAAACUCCACCUGAAAUGACUUUGAAAACUGAAUGACUUCUUGGGGAGUGUCUUUGAUAUUCUUGUUAUAUCUCCACCAACUUCUGCUUGAGGUGCAAUCUUCUUGCAAAAGCAGCUGGGAAGUUGCAGUUAAACACUUGGAUGAAGAAUAAAAAUAGCAGGAGUAGUUUGUAGCUAGAUAUGGUGAUUAGUCUAACCAACUUGCAUCAUGAAAUUAUAAAACUUCUAAUACAAUGGAAGAAGGAGAGAGAGAGAGAGAGAGAGACUGCUGUUCUGCUACUAUGCUUUUACUGUGAUCAGCUCAGACUGUCCUGAAAUUGCACAGUAAUCUCUUUAGUAUGUGUGGUUACUGAGUAUAAGAUGCAGAUGGUCACCCAAAGAUGACUUUAAAAGAAAGAGCUCAUUUUCUACAUGUACGUCUGUUCUGGGCCAGAAAUGUUGGCUACCUUCAAAGAGGAAGAGGCGGACUGUGGGUGCAAAUUGAGAAAUGAAAGACUCUUCAGGAUGAAACGGAGAUAUGUCAUGUGGAGAGAAAUGGGAUCUUCAAACUGUACUUUCCUGAAGCAUGAACUGACUUACUGCUGCUAAUACACAGGAGCUCUUGCUGCAUUUCUGCUUAUUUGGAUCUGUUCAUUUCAAGUCAAGCUGUAUGAAAACGAAACCAACUUGUAAGGUCAAUAAGCAUAGCAUAAUAACUGGAGCAAUAAUGAACGUCUGUCUUCGUCUGUCUUAGCAACACUACUAGUCACUUGGAUUUGGCUUGCAUCAAGCAUCUAUUAAACUGCUUUGAUUGACAUGACCUUGACUGCAAAACCCAGUGCACAAGCACAGACGCACACAAAUAGAAUUCUUUUACAGUUAAUUGUUUCUGACCUGCUGGUGAUGAAAUGAAGAUUUUUGUGUUAAAAUGUGUGGAGAAGAGAAUGAAGAACCUUUCUCUAACUGCCCUCUGCCUCCCCACCCUCUUCUGUCUCUUCCUUCCCUUGUCUUGUUGAGCUGUCAUUUAAAGUGAUAAUGCAAGGUACAGUCAGAGCUCAAUGUGAGUGUUGAAAUUCUGGUUUAUAUUUGCAAAAUUUGUAGUACGCUUCUGUUUUGAUCUUCAUGACUCUAGUUUGGAAAUUAUUAAAAAACA